rnacentral:rRNA from 1 species
CCUACGGGCGGCUGCAGUGGGGAAUAUUGGACAAUGGGGGAAACCCUGAUCCAGCGACGCCGCGUGAGUGAAGAAGUAUUUCGGUAUGUAAAGCUCUAUCAGCAGGAAAGAAAAUGACGGUACCUGACUAAGAAGCCCCGGCUAACUACGUGCCAGCAGCCGCGGUAAUACGUAGGGGGCAAGCGUUAUCCGGAUUUACUGGGUGUAAAGGGAGCGUAGACGGGUGGGCAAGUCUGGAGUGAAAUGCCGGGGCCCAACCCCGGAACUGCUCUGGAAACUGUGAAGCUGGAGUGCAGGAGAGGUAGGCGGAAGUCCUGGUGUAGCGGUGAAAUGCGUAGAUAUCAGGAGGAACACCGGCGGCGAAGGCGGCUUACUGGACUGUAACUGACGUUGAGGCUCGAAGGCGUGGGGAGCAAACAGGAGUAGAUACCCCAGUAGUC